AUAAAGACACAAUCAAUUGUCUUUGGUCCAAUCCUAACUUGUUUAGGUUUGGGUAUUUGUACUUUCGCUAAGCACCCCCACACUUUAAGAUAUUUGUAAGAAGGUUUUCGACCUUUCCAUAAUUCGUAAGGUGAUUCAACCUUAUCUUUGUGUGGUAUUUUAUUAAGGAUAUGAUUUGCAGAAAGUAUGGCUUCCCCCCACAAGUUUUGAGGUAAGCCCGAACUAAUCAACAUUGCAUUCAUCAUUUCCUUUAACGUUCGAUUUUUGCGUUCAGCAAUUCCAUUAGAUUGUGGUGAAUAUGGUGCCGUUGUUUGAUGAAUUAU
rnacentral:lncRNA from 1 species